CGAGUUUCGAAUGAUUCGCGCAGGCUUGAAGCUGAGCGCAUGCAGAACUAAAACAUACAAUAAACCAAAUCAAAACUUUUAUUUUAAGGCCGUUUAUGGGAGUCAGGCAGCUGUAAACUGUGAUUAGAGAAAAUUGGGCUAGUUGUCCUUGCAGGCAAUUUUCAGUAUAGUAUUUUUGGACUGAUCAUUUUGAACACCGGAAACAAAGUAGCGUCUCUUUUUGUGAACUGUAAAUGUCAGAUGUCAGGAGAGCAUUAGCUCCGGGAAACGCUGCGAACUUAAGAGCCUCGUCUGACUGAUUAAAACAGUGGAUAGAGCCAUGAAGAUUUAUUGGAUUCUUGCACUAUUUCUAACUGGCACUUCCUCUGUUUCUGUGGUGCUGAAUCACCCAACAUCACUUCCCUGCGGCAACUGUGAAAACGUCGUGUGGCGUAAGAUCUUCCCCAUAGAAGCAACUGUUGCCGACUGCCAAAAGCGGAAAUGCAUCAUAAAAGAAAGCUUUCGGCAAAGAUUCAACGUCAUGCAUGAAGAAAACAACUCACUAUUUCUCAAGUCAGCAAAAUACAAUGACCUGGGACAAUACGUGUGCAGUUGUGACGGCAUUGACAAGCAUGUUAACCUGGAGGUCGUAGUUCCCAUAAACGUGACUGUUGUUGAGUUGAGAAACGUCACUCUUCCGUGUUAUGCGGAUACUCAGAGCGGUGUCAGUGAUGUGACAUGGCUACACAAUGAAAAAAAAGCUCUGUACUACACAACAAAAGGAGCCCCAAUCCCAGGCCUGGGCUAUGAGGAGAGAGUAUCGCUGACAGAGGACGGAGACAGAGACGGUGAUGUGUCUCUGACCAUCACUGGUGUCCAACAGACAGACGCAGGAUUAUACCGCUGCUUCGUUCGAGAUGAGACGGCUAAAGGAUACCCACACGCCUACAUGCUGCAUGUGAUCGAGAAGCUCACCAAAGCAGGAGGAAACCAAACUGAGGACAGCAACAAUGAAAAACGAUCUCACAUCGGACUGAUCUUACCUUUCUCACUCUUCAUUUGCUCUCUUCUCAUUCUUUUAUGCUGUAAGAUGAUGGCAUCACCCAGAGAGGAAACUACAGCUAGCGAGCCCGUACAGGAGAGUGACCAAAAGCAUUCAACUCGUCCUUUUUAUUCUGGAGACGAGAGCUAUGACCUGUCAAACCUGAGUAUGAACGAUUACAGUAAUCCUUCUAAUAUUGAGGAUACUGACUCCGCUGAAACACAGGAACAUGAGGUUUAGAAGUCUCAUGCAUGUAACUGACCGAUGCUUGUCUCACGCAGAAGUACGAAAUAUGAAAACAGCCAUCAUGGGACCACAGAACUGUCUCAACACUGUUACACUCUUUUAUUAAGCACUAAGAAAUUAUUCCUUUUAUUGUUUUAUCUUUGUGUAUCCUCUGCAGGAUCCAGAUUGAUGUUACUUUUCUUUCAAAUAAUAUAUUCUGUGAACUCCUUAAUGAAGUUAUAUUUUAAAGUAUAUUUUAAACUCUACAGCUGUGCACUAAAAUUCACUUUAAGAGACAUGAAAAAAAUUACUUUUUAGAUGAAAAUGACAUGAAAUUGCUUUAUAACCAGUAGAUGGCAGCAGAGGAUCACUCAUCAGCUCAGAUGCCAUGUCCACUCCCUAGUUUUUUUGUGUGUGUGUUUUUCAUGUCUUGCUUCUGGAUAUAUUGUAAAAUGACUAUUUUACAAAUUUGAGUACCUUUACUGCACUGAAGUAUAAAGUAUAGCAACUGUAGGAAGUCACGAAGUCUCAUGUCAUUUAAAAAAAAAAUUCCCAGACACCAACAGCCCAGAAGGGUUAAAUACUUAAGUUAAUUAUUAAUGGUACAAUAAUUAAAUAAUAAUGGAUUAAAUAUUUUUUAAAUAUUUUUAACAUUAAGUUUUAUCUUUAACCGUAGAAGCUGCUAAAUAUAUUCCACUAACAGACUUGCUGCUGCUGUAGUUUUGUUAAGCUACUCUGAAUUAGUCUAAAUCAUUUCAUGCACAGCUCAUUUACUCGUCAGAUUUUUGUUUUCAUCCUUACUUUAACAUUCUCAAUCACAGCAUCGACUCGUAUACUUUUUUAACACUUGCAUUUGUCAUUCCUGAAACACUAUAUAGGUCCUCUUAGAAAAACAAAACUUUUCUUCAAAUUGAGAAUGGAUUAUGUAGAUUUUAGACGGCUGAUUUUAACAGUUGAAGGGAAAUGACUGAGCUGGCUUAUCUAAAACAAGGAAGUAACCGUGCAUAUAGGCCUAGCCAAUUCCGCCAAUUCCAAUUGUUACGCUCACAUAAAACAUUGACUAUAUCUUCAGGAUUCAUGAUCGUAAACUUUUCAUGUUUGGUGUCAUUUUAAAGGUCUUUGUGCAAUUGAUAAAAUGGUCUCAAUUUCACAGUAGUCACUUGUAUUACAAGAAAGAUUGAAAACUUUUGUAGAAUUGUGUUCUGCUGUGAAGGGGGUGUGUCCCCCUUUAGGGGUCUUUGUGAAUGUUUAUCUGCAGCCAGUUGUGACCCUGACGUGAUCACUGGAACCUAAAGAACCAAAAGGUCUUUUAUGUUUUUACAACUGAUUUGCAUUUUAGACCAUGUGUCUUAAAUUAGGAUAACUGUUACAUGUGUGACUAUGUUAAAUUUGUGUGCCUCCUGCAUGGAUCACUUGGCCGUUCCCAAUAUGGCUACAGUGUCUUUGUGCAGAAGCAAAGUUGCAACACAACUACAAUGUGAUUUACAAUUACACUAUCCUUUCUAAAUUGUCUUCUAAUUGUUUUCAUUUUGUAAUUGACAUGAUACAAUUUUACCUGACUGAUAAUAAAUUGUUAUAUUUGAUUUAUUCUGCA
ensembl:lncRNA